UACGGGGGGAGCAAGCGUUGUUCGGAUUUACUGGGCGUAAAGGGCGCGUAGGCGGUCAGCACAAGUCAGUUGUGAAAUCUCCGGGCUUAACUCGGAAAGGUCAACUGAUACUGUGCGACUAGAGUGCAGAAGGGGCAACUGGAAUUCUCGGUGUAGCGGUGAAAUGCGCAGAUAUCAGGAGGAACACCGAUGGCGAAGGCAGGUCUCUGGGCCACUACUGACGCUGAGAAGCGAAAGCAUGGGGAGCGAACAGG
rnacentral:rRNA from 1 species